AUUGAACGCUGGCGGCAGGCCUAACACAUGCAAGUCGAAUGGUAACAGGAAACAGCUUGCUGUUUCGCUGACGAGUGGCGGACGGGUGAGUAAUGUCUGGGAAACUGCCUGAUGGAGGGGGAUAACUACUGGAAACGGUAGCUAAUACCGCAUAACGUCGCAAGACCAAAGAGGGGGACCUUCGGGCCUCUUGCCAUCAGAUGUGCCAGAUGGGAUUAGCUAGUAGGUGGGGUAACGGCUCACCUAGGCGACGAUCCCUAGCUGGUCUGAGAGGAUGACCAGCCACACCGGAACUGAGACACGGUCCAGACUCCUACGGAGCAGCAGUGGGGAAUAUU
rnacentral:rRNA from 1 species